AUCCACAGUCCGUAUUCAAAUUUUGACAACUGUCCCAGUAAUGUCCUUUAGGAUUUUUUUUCCGGGAUCUAAUCCCGGACCACACAUUGCACUGGGCUGUCACAUCUCCGGAAGAUACUGGAACUCUGCUGCAGCCUUUCUUUGUCUUUCUUGAACUUGCUUUUUGAAGACCACAGGCUCUAUUUAUUUUGUAGAAUGUCCUUCAGUUUGGUUUCGUCUCCGCUCUCCUCGUGAUUAGAUUGAGCUACCUAGUGAACAUUGACUGUGUGCCAGGCAGUGUCCUAGGCUCCAGGAACGAGCAGGGAACAAGGCAUCCAGGUGCUGUUUCUGAGCCUCUUACAUUCUGUGGCGGGGACAGAUGAUAGGGACAGAAAUAAAUAAGAUGCAUGGCUCCGAGGAGAAACCAAAGAAAAGAGAGGACAAAAAGAACCAACGGAGGCUGCAGCAUCUUGUUUCAAACAGGAGCCAAACUCAUGGCCAAGGCUCCCACUGUAUCCAUGUAGCCAGGUCAGAAUUAGAAUUCAGAAGAUUCAGUUCUCAGGAAGAUGUAUAAUAACACAUUUGAAUUGGAAUAAAGAUAGUCUCUGGACAGAAGGAAAAUCUGAUUUGGUUGAUUGAUUUGACAAAGAACACCAGCUUUGACAAUUAGGUUUCACGGCAGAGAUUUCCCAUGAAUUCAAUGAGCAAAAUUUGCAGCUCUUUGGGUUUUUGUGAAAACUAAUGUAAAGCUUGUGAUAAGAUAAAAUUAAUCUAUGUAGAUAUGUUGGCAAAGGUGUUUUGAAAUGAGAAAUGUUUUUAUUUUUCUCAACUGAUUGUUGAGUGUAACCAAUUAAAGUGCCUUUAAGUGAAAGAAUGACAGGCAAAUUAGGGUCGUUUAAUAAGUGUUGGUAUGGGACUGGCCCCAUGGC